UUAAGGGCCCUCCUUAGAGGUCAAAGGUCACCGGGGGUGUGGCUGUGGGUGGGGUGGGUGGUCUCGGGAACUUGGAAAAAUUACUGGAAACUUGGAAAUUGCUGGGUGACGUCAUCCACCGACUGCCUCACUCCCGGAAUGGAAUAAUCGUUGCGGGGCGCUUGUAUACGGGACGGAACCAAGGAUAGGAGACAU